UCCGACGCGCACGGCGCGGCGCGGCCGGGUCGAUGGGAACGCGUGCCCCGCUGGCUCUCGCUCGCUGCUGCCUCUCGCUCUGUGGUGGUGACCGUUCGAGCAACGAAGGCUCCGGCGCGGCGCUGCUCGCCGGUGCUCGAUCUCCCUGUUCUGGAGCAGGCGCAGGAUUGAUCGGCACCGGCGGUCAGUGCUCGACCGGGCGCCUUUAUCCGGGCAUGAGGUGACAGCGCCGCUGCGUCCUCCGACGACGUGCGGUGUGAUCACCAUAUGCCAGAUCGUCAGUUAUUGGUAUACGAGUGUAGGAGUCACAGGCAACAAGAAGGAUCAAGCUAGCGUACGCAUGGACGACGAUCGGCAACUUUCUAAUGGCGUCUGUCCUUUCCGGGAGAUUGCGUGCAUAGGUGGGCACAUAUGCGUACGUGCAUUAAGGAGAUGUUUCUAAUUUGCAUGCAAGAUGAUUAAAAGGCAGGUGGCCGGAUUGAUUAACUACAGAAUGUCAAUGCGUGCAUGUCAAUGAAGUCCGUUUAUGGUAAUAUGUGCAGAAAAGGUGCAUGUAUCCGUGAAAGACAAGAUGCAGCGACAUAGUGAUGUUUGGCCUGUUGAGAAUAAAAUAUUUCCUAAUCUAAUUGUCUUGGCCGAAACAAAUGCAAGACAGAAGAUUCAUUGAUGAGGAUUCUACGGAAAAUAAAGAUAGAGUCCAUGUAUCUUAGUAUUUCUUUUUAAUUUAGAUUUUGCUUGAGAGGCAAGUCAGACCAGACUAUAAAUAUGUACCUCCAUCCAUUGUAAAGGGUUUGUCACACGAUUAGAAGAAUUAUCUUCACCU